UGAUGAGUAAUGUAUAGCAGAUUGAUAUUACUGCCCUAUGAAGGAAUCUGGACAGAGCCUGAUUAGCAGUGAGGAUCAAGAGGCUGAUGCAUGGGGAAGAAAUGAGGACAAGGAAUAGAAGACAGAUGACAGUGAUUUGGAGGAAGCUAAGGUCCCAACGGAGAGAUUUCCAUUGGAGGGUGAGACCGCACUUUUAAAGAUAGACACUGUUGAUAGAGAAGCACAAACUGAGGGACAGACAGAGGAGCAAGGAAUCUGGACAGGUGACCCUCUCCACCACAGAUUUCUCUGUGUGACAGUGGGUAAAUUUUAUGGCCCUUUUGAGCAAUGUCUGUCCUGUCAACUUAUCUAUCAACAAGAACACCACCAAAUACAGCUUAUACAGGGUCCAGAGAACAAGCAAAACAGAAAACCACGGAAACAGGUCAAAAUAAGUACCGAUAAAUAAGAUAUGCCUGCCACUGGGUCUACACCUGGAAUAUUAAAAACAUCAGAAGUGACCAAGAGUGACUUUGCAAAGUCAGCCUUGGAGUCCGUACUGACUGACACUUGUGGAGCAAAGUUUGCAAUGGUGGUAUCAGGAGAAAAGAAGGAUUCCUCUAUGCUGAAGGUGUUGCUUUUUCGCAAACAGGAAGCAAUGAUCGCUAAAGGGGAGUUCAUAUUACCACAGGAUCUACAGAUGGGACAAAAACGUAGGAGUAAUAUCGAAAUUCAACUUUUUACUCCUAAAUCUUCACAAUUACCAGCUCGAACUAUGGCGGUCCUAUGCAUCAGUCACCACUUCGAGGAGAUGGAGGAAUUGAUGUGGAAGGAUCAGUCCACAGAGGCUUGGAGUCUAGAGGAGCUUGUCUUGGAUGCUACAGGGUCUUGAGGACAUUAUGUGCUGACCGCUUCCUGAUGGACUUGCGAUAAAAGUUGCUUUUCUUUGCAAAUUUCUCCAUGAAGGACAGAUGAUAUGGAAUGGUCCAAUGAUGUGGAGUAUUCCAUGGCAAUGAAGUCAGACCCAUCCUUCGUGACA